UGGCGGCAGGUCUUAGGCAUGCAAGUCGAACGGAUGACAAGGGAGCUUGCUUCCUGAAGUCAGUGGCGCACGAGUGAGUAACGCGUGGGAAACUGCCCUUCACUGGGGAAUAACGUUUGGAAACGAACGCUAAUACCGCAUACGCCCGCAAGGGGAAAGAUUUAUCGGUGAUGGAUGUGCCCGCGUUGGAUUAGCUAGUUGGUGGGGUAAUGGCCUACCAAGGCGAUGAUCCAUAGCUGGUCUGAGAGGACGAUCAGCCACGCUGGAACUGAGACACGGUCCAGACUCCUACGGGAGGCAGCAGCUAAGAAUAUUGGGCAAUGGAGGAAACUCUGACCCAGCCCAUGCCGCGUGAAUGAAGAAGGCCUUCGGGUUGUAAAGUUCUUUUAGUCAUGAAGAUGAUGACAGUAGUGACAGAAAAAGCACCGGCUAACUUCGUGCCAGCCGCCGC
rnacentral:rRNA from 1 species